AACGGGUGACCUCUUCCGCACUGACGGCACCACCGACUGGUCCCUUGUGAAGGGAGAGACUGAACCACCGGAACUGCCACUAGGACUGACACAGGACAUGACCGCAAUGGACGAGAAGCUUCGCGAAUUCUAUAUCUUGGCAAAUACCACGAGGCCCGGCGACGCGGACGACGAGCCCGAGGAGCAAGGGACUGACGACUCGGAGGACUACAACUUCUACUGACAAUAAACCACACAGACA